rnacentral:lncRNA from 1 species
GUCGCCGUCUAAAGGUGGGCUCUAUAGAGGCGACCGGCAAGCUGGAACACCAACCUGGAAAGAGAGUGAGCCACAAGGACCAAUUGGAAGCCUGUGGGGGAUAUCGGGGGCGGGGCUGCUGGCUGUGGUACUUUUGCAGCUUUGGUGGGCUCCGGCUUCCUUCACUCCAGCCCACCGCGUCCGAGAGACUUAGCAGGGCGUCAAACUGGAGAGCGGAAGGAUGGAACCUUUUAUUCUCAGGUGGAGAGGAUUAAGCUUUGCGGUGUUAGCAGAAAAUGAUCGAGCUCCAGAAAAUGAUUUGGAGUCUGCAGGUGUACCCAGCAGCUCCGAAGAGACAGCGACCAUCGAGAACAAGCCAUGAUGAUGAUGGUGGUUUGUCGAAAAGGAAAUGGGGAAAUGUGGGGAAAAGAGAGAUCAGACUGUUACUGUGUCUGUGUAGAAAGAAGUAGACAUAAGAGACUCCAUUUUGUUCUGUACUAAGAAAAAUUAUUCUGCCUUGAGAUGCUGUUAAUCUGUAACCCUACCCCCAACCCUGUGCUCCCUGAAACACGUGCUGUGUCAACUCAGGGUUAAAUGGAUUAAGGGCUGUGCAGGAUGUGCUUUGUUAAACAAAUGCUUGAAGGCAGCAUGCUUGUUAAGAGUCAUCAUCACUCCCUAAUCUCAAGUACCCAGAGACAAUACGCUGCGGAAGGCCGCAGGGACCUCUGCCUAGGAAAGCCAGGUAUUGUCCAAGGUUUCUCCCCAUGUGAUAGUCUGAAAUAUGCUGGCCGGGAAAGACCUGACCGUCCCCCAGCCCAACACCCGUAAAGGGUCUGUGCUGAGGAGGAUUAGUAAAAGAGGAAGGAAGGCCUCUUUGCAGUUGAGAUAAGAGGAAGGCAUCUGUCUCCUGCUCGUCCCUGGGCAAUGGGAUGUCUCGGUGUAAAACCCGAUUGUAUGUUCCAUCUACUGAGAUGGGGAAAACCGCCUUAGGGCUGGAUGUGGGACAUGCUGGCAGCAAUACUGCUCUUUAAGGCAUUGAGAUGUUUAUGUGUAUGCACAUCAAAAGCACAGCACUUUUUUCUUUACCUUGUUUAUGAUGCGGAGACGUUUGUUCACAUGUUUUCCUGCUGACCUUCUCUCCACUAUUACCCUAUUGUCCUGCCACAUCCCCCUCUCCGAGAAACGCCCAAUAAUGAUCAAUAAAUACUGAGGGAACUCAGAGACUGGUGCCGGUGCGGGUCCACUGUAUGCUGAGCGCCACUUCCCUAAGCCCACUUUUCUUUCUCUAUACUUUGUCUCUGUGUCUCCUUCUUUUCUUAAGUCUCUCAUUCCACCUGACAAGAAAUGCCCACAAGUGUGGAGGGGCAGGCCACCCCUUCACUCAGCCUCCUGAGUAGCUGGGAUUGCAGGUGCGCGCCACCAUGUCUGGCUAAUUUUUGUGUUUUUAGUAGAGGCGGGGUUUCACCCUGUUGGCCAGGUUGGUCUUGAACUCCUGACCUCAGGUGAUCCACCCAUCUGGGCCUCCCAAAGUUCUGAGAUUACAGGCAUGAGUCACCGUGCCCAGCCCAUUUAUCCUUGAUAUAGCUAAAUUACUGAGCAUUAGGAAGGGUGGAACUUUCAGCCUGUAAAAUAUGAGUGAGGUUUCACAAAAACUAGCACAAUGUCUGGGGCCCAGAUUAUUCUAUUUGUGACUGGGCGGGAAGAGGUAUAUAUAUAGUAAUUUUUGUAUUUUUAGUAGAGACGGGGUUUCACCAUGUUGGCCAGGCUGGUCUUGAACUCCUGACGUUAAGUGAUCCAUCUGCCUCCCAAAGUGCUGGGAUUACAGGUGUGAGCCACCACUUUGGGCCAUAGAUCGGGUGAUUGGGGGAAGACCUGAGGUAUCUGAGCAGAAAUCUGGUUGGGGAGUGAGCCAACAGUUAUCUGGAGGGAAACUGGUUCAGGCAGAGGGAAGAGCAAAUCCAAAGCUCCUAAAGCAAAAGCAUAUUUUUGGUGUAUUUGAGAAACAGCAAGAAGGUCAAUGUAGCUAAGAGCCGGAAUAAGAGAAGAGAUGCAGGCAGGGAUGAGAUUGUUUUUGGCUUCUUAGGUCAUGGUAAGAACUUGGAUUUUAUUUUUUGUGUAAUGGGCACCCAUCAGAUGGUGUUGAGGAGGGGACUGACACAAAAUCAUUUAGGUAUUAAACUGAUCCUUCCGCUGCUCCAUGGGGACCCAGAGUGGAAGUAGUAGCAGGAAACCAAUUAGGCUUUUACAAUAGUUCAGGUAAGAGAUGACAGUGACUUGGACUAGGGUGUAGUAGCUAUGGAGAUGGUUGAAAAUGGCUAGAUGUGGGAUCUAUUUUAAAGGUACCACCAACAGCAUUUGCAGACUCAAGGAUGAUUUCAAAGUUUUGGGUCUGAGCAACUAGGUGAAUGAUAACAUUGUUUACUGAGACGGGGAGGCCUUAAGUAGAAGGUUUAGGAGGGAAAAUAUAGAUUUUGCUAUGGAC